GCCGCAGUAGCUCAGUUGGUAGAGCACAUCAUUCGUAAUGAUGGGGUCGGGGGUUCGAAUCCCUUCUGCGGCACCA
rnacentral:tRNA from 1 species